AAGAUUUUUUUAAAAAUUUAUUUGUCAGAUAUAUAGAGAGCGAGCACAGGCAGAGCGGCAGGCAGAGGCCGAGGGAGAAGCAGGCUCCCUGCCGAGCAAGAAGCUCCAUGUGGGACUCGAUCCCAGAACACCGGGAUCAUGACCCAAGCCAAAGGCAGCUGCUUAACCCACUGAGCCCCCUGCCGCCCUCCCAGAUACUAUCUUUUGCCAAAGUGCAUGCACCGAUUUGCACUCCCACUGGCUCUGAUUAACCCCUGGUGAUAAGUGCCUGCCACGACACGAAGGGACCCAAGGACACUGUUGAGAGGACCCAGACACAGGACACAUCCCACUGGACCCCACUCCCAGGAGGGCCCCAGAGGAGUCCCAUUCGCAGAGAAGAGACGGUGGGUGCCGGGACUCAGGCAGGGGUGGGGAGUCCGGGCUUCGUGGGGACAGAGUCUCCAUGAGGGGAGAUGGAAGGUUCUGGAGACGGAGGGUGGGGGUGUGGGAGUGCUUCACACCGCUGGGCAGUGCACUUGGGAGACGGUUAAGGUGGUGAAUUCUGUUAUGUGUACUCACCAUUUUUUAAGAAGGAAAAAGGUCUGAGAGAAGAUCACCGAGACAGACCCAACCUCCUCAGUUUACAUAAGUAAAUACAGAAUGUCCAGGACGCAGGCUCCUCGGUCCCCGACCCCCAGUCAGGAGGCACGUCUGGCCAGAUGCUCCAGCCCCCCAGUCUAGACGAAUGAAGCGGAAGUCGGGGCCAAGUCACAGAACCUCAGAGCAGGGGGCCCUGGAGCCCAAGCAGGGCCGCUGUGGCCGCCGCACCCAUGAGCUCACACAGCAGCCGGCCACGCGGGGACCAGGCAAGACUCUCCAGAGCUCGGGCGCCCCUGCAGUGCCCACCGCCCACCUGCUAUGGCCAGUGAGAGGAAAUAAGCCAGAGGGGGCCACAGCAUUUAGGAACAAAAUUUAUUCCAAUUUAAAACAGAAUUCAUUUCAGGAGAAAGAUAUGAAAAGUCAAUUUCCAUCAGCUCUCUCUGGAUUAAGGGGUCAGGGCCCCGACGCGCGGAGCGGAGCCUGCUGCCCCGCCCCCGCCCCCACAUGGCAGCCUUGGCCCCGGGAGGUUGGCACUGAGCUAACGGGCCUGUCCGCCAGCGCGCACAACAAUACAUGCA